rnacentral:pre_miRNA from 1 species
CAUGUACUCCCUCCGUUCGGAAUUACUCGUCCAAAAAAUGAAUGUAUCUAGAUGCAUUUUAGUUGUAGAUACAUCCAUUUUUAUGACAAGUAAUUUUGAACGGAGGGAGUAUGAU